rnacentral:rRNA from 1 species
ACUUACACAUGCAAGCAUCCACACCCCGGUGAGAAUGCCCUCUAAAUCUCCGAGACUAAGAGGAGCGGGUAUCAAGCACACAUCCUGUAGCUCACAACACCUUGCUUAACCACACCCCCACGGGAGACAGCAGUGACAAAAAUUAAGCCAUAAACGAAAGUUUGACUAAGUUAUAUUGACCAGGGUUGGUAAAUCUCGUGCCAGCCACCGCGGUCAUACGAUUAACCCAAGCUAACAGGAAUACGGCGUAAAACGUGUUUAAGCACUAUAUCAAAUAGAGUUAAAUUUUAAUUAAACUGUAAAAAGCCAUAAUUAUAAUAAAAAUAAAUGACGAAAGUAACUCUACAACAGCCGACACACUAUAGCUAAGACUCAAACUGGGAUUAGAUACCCCACUAUGCUUAGCCCUAAACACAAAUAGUUAUAAAAACAAAAUUAUUCGCCAGAGUACUACCGGCAACAGCCUAAAACUCAAAGGACUUGGCGGUGCUUUAUACCCUUCUAGAGGAGCCUGUUCUAUAAUCGAUAAACCCCGAUAAACCUCACCAAUUCUUGCUAAUACAGUCUAUAUACCGCCAUCUUCAGCAAACCCUAAAAAGGAAUAAAAGUAAGCAUAAUCACAAUACAUAAAAACGUUAGGUCAAGGUGUAACCUAUGAAAUGGGAAGAAAUGGGCUACAUUUUCUACUACAAGAAAAGCACACGAAAGUUAUUAUGAAAUUGAUAACCAAAGGAGGAUUUAGUAGUAAACUAAGAAUAGAGUGC